AUCAGGGAGUGAAUAGGAAGGACUUGAGAAGACCAGAGAGCAAACCCUGUAAGGGGGAGUGUAAAUUGGUAGGAGGAGUUCUAGUUGUGUAGAUUUAAGACUUUAUUUAUUAUUUCUCUACCCUAAUAAACUUUUUUUUUUUAAUAAUUGCAAGGUCAUGCUUUGCUGUCCCUGAAGAGGUCCCUAGAAAGAUAGGAAGCAACUUUUUCUAUAGGUGAAACAUAUUGCCUUCAAGAAAAUGUCUCAACUCGAGUAGAUGAAAAAUGGUUUAGCCUGAACAUUUAGAAGAGUGAAAAUACAUCAAAGGCCUAAGGAAAUGUCAUUGAAGGAAAUAACAGUAACUGCCUGCAGAACAUAACAGGUUUCAUUUUGAAAUAGAUUUUCAGGUAAGGUUUUUCUUGCCAUUUUUCAGAGAUACUUGAAGCAACUAUAAAAAUGGAAUUAGCUGGCUAACACACAGUUAUAUCAUUGUUUGUUUCCGUAUAACAUCAGGAACAUUUAACUGUCUU
rnacentral:lncRNA from 1 species